GAUGAACGCUGGCGGCGUGCUUAACACAUGCAAGUCGAACGGAAAGGCUCCUGCUUGCAGGGGUACUCGAGUGGCGAACGGGUGAGUAACACGUGGGUGAUCUGCCCUGCACUUCGGGAUAAGCCUGGGAAACUGGGUCUAAUACCGGAUAGGACCACAUUUUGGAUGGUGUGGUGGAAAGUUUUUCGGUGUGGGAUGAGCUCGCGGCCUAUCAGCUUGUUGGUGGGGUAAUGGCCUACCAAGGCGUCGACGGGUAGCCGGCCUGAGAGGGUGUACGGCCACAUUGGGCCUGAGAUACGGCCCAGACUCAUACGGGAGGCAGCAGUGGGGACUAUUGCACAAUGGGCGCAAGCAUGAUGCAGGGACGCCGGGUGGGGGAUGACGGCCUUCGGGUUGUAAACUCCUUUCGCUAGGGACGAAGCGCAAGUGACGGUACCUGGAGAAGAAACACCGGCUAACUACGU
rnacentral:rRNA from 1 species